GGGGAUUUAGCUCAGCGGGUAGAGCGCUUGCCUAGCGAGCACAAGGCCCUGGGUUCGGUCCCCAGCUCCG
rnacentral:tRNA from 1 species